rnacentral:rRNA from 1 species
UACGUAGGGUGCGAGCGUUGUCCGGAAUUAUUGGGCGUAAAGAGCUCGUAGGCGGUCUGUCGCGUCGAUCGUGAAAACUUGGGGCUUAACCCUGAGCUUGCGGUCGAUACGGGCAUGACUGGAGUUCGGCAGGGGAGACUGGAAUUCCUGGUGUAGCGGUGAAAUGCGCAGAUAUUAGGAGGGACACCUGGCGAAGGCGGGUCUCUGGGCCGAUACUGACGCUGAGGAGCGAAAGCGUGGGGAGCAAACAGG